UGGAUGAAUGCUUGCUUCAAGCCUGGUGACAAAGACAAAUUAGAAGUAAUUAUUUACUUGGAAUUUCCAAUUUUAUGGAAGAACAAGGGAUCCAAAACACGUGCGGCGAAUACUCCAUACUAGUAAAAGAACACCAUCUGAUCAACUCUGUGCUAGAGCAGGUGAUCACUCCUCAUUUUUCAAGUUGCAACUUGUUUAACCACAAAAAGAGUAGCAAGCAUUAAGGUUGCUCGCAACCAUAAGACUUCUUUUUGACAAAACAAUAGGAGCACUUUUCAAUUAUGGGUCAACGAUUCAUGCCAUUAUUCACAUAGGAUGACUACUGCCUAAAUGAUGAUGUAAAUGGGGAGAGAACCAAUCACUCGACAACAGCAGGAAUGUACAUGGAAUUCAUUUGGAAUCUUGAACAGUCAAACCUUAAUGAAAACAAUCUUUUGAGUCAGUUUACAGAGUAAACUAGGGAUCAGAUUUGAUAGGUUCAAUGUGAUUUGAAGACUACAACUAUUUGAAGAAGUCACGUGGUAGCUUACAGAAUUUAAAGAAGAGAACAGGAUGUACUUGCCUUACAUGAGAUGGUAUGUAACAAGAGGAGGCACUUGUCCCACAUCGGAAAGGAACGGGGUCCUGGGCUCCUUAUGAGCAGGUGUGCUGCACACCCCCUCAGGUGCAUCUUUUGGGGAUAGGGUAGUAACCCCAUGACAAUAGUGGUAUCAGAGCCGACCGGACCUCUUCUGACUCACGCCAAGAUCCCCCAACGGACUAGGGUAGGCAGGGUGGCCGGUGGUAAUGAUGGCGUUGCUGGAAUCGGGUGGGAGAGAGUGUAACAAGAGGAGGCACUUGUCCCACAUCGGAAAGGAACGGGGUCCUGGGCUCCUUAUGAGCAGGUGUGCUGCACACCCCCUCAGGUGCAUCUUUUGGGGAUAGGGUAGUAACCCCAUGACAAUAGUGGUAUCAGAGCCGACCGGACCUCUUCUGACUCACGCCAAGAUCCCCCAACGGACUAGGGUAGGCAGGGUGGC
rnacentral:misc_RNA from 1 species